CAACUAUUAUGUUACGUGCGGUCGACAAGAACCAAAGACUUUUGGAAACUAUGAUCUGUAGAAUCGUUGGUUUUUUUGUGUCUUUCGAUAUCACCGGAAUGUCCUUGACUUUCUGUUCGAUCGCCAAUAAAAUUCGUCCGAAGAGCACGAUCAUGCAAACGACGCCUAGCAAAGUAUCCCAAAGCUUUAUCUCGCCGAUGUGCUCGAAUACCAGUCGCCAGACCUGGAGGAAUUUUCCAGCUGUGAAUUCGAUUCCCAAAAUGUCCUUUACCUGGCUUGUCGCUAUAAUUAUUGCUCCAGCUGAAGUGAAUCCGACUGAGACCGGCCCAGAGAUGAAAUCGAUCAAAAAACCUUAGUGGGCAGAAAAAUGUUAUUCUUAAAGCGUUUCAAGAAUCGACGAAUCUCGAACAAAAGAGUGACGAUUGCAGAUCGUCGAAGUGUGUCGGAUACCAUUCGGUCUUAAAACCGCCUCGACUCGUGUUUAGUCAUCUGAGGCUCGGUAACGGAUUGCGUAACUUCCGUACGUGCUGGUACCGAAUAAAAAUCAAUUUGGCGCGAGGGAUUGCAUAAUUUAUUCAAGGAAUUCUUCGUUCUAUUCUGCUCUACCGUAAUGGGAGAAUUGCCAUUUGGUAACUUACCUAAU